AACGCACAUUGCGCCUCCCGGCAUUCCGGGAGGCAUGCCUGUUCGAGCGUCAUCAAAACCACUCAAGCUUGUGUUUAUUCAUGACUUGGUAUUGGAACUGGAGUGGACAUGAGCCAUUCCUAUCCGAAUUCCAGUGGCAAAGUUGUCGUCACCUAUAAGCGUAGUAAUCAACAUUAUGUUUCGCUUUGGAGCAGACAAUCUUCCGCCGUUAACCACCCCCAUCCAAAAUUUAAGUGUUUGACCUCGGAUCAGGUAGGGAUACCCGCUGAACUUAA
rnacentral:misc_RNA from 1 species